rnacentral:tRNA from 1 species
AGGCAUAGAGCUUUGGCGGCAAACUCAUAAUCCCUUGGUCGUAGGUUCAAGUCCUACUGGGCCCACCA